GGUGCUAUAGUGUAGUGGUUAUCACCCGGGAUUCUGAUAAUUGAGUAUAGAUGCUCGAUUUCCCGGAACCCAGGUUCGAACCCUGGUAGCACCU